CACUAUCAGCCUGGUGCAGGGUGGGGGUUGGGGUGGACCGGGAUGGGUGAGUUGGAAUAGCUGACCUGCAGUCAGGUGGAAGAAGGGGGUGGGGUCGGCUUGGGAUUCCAGUGCUGGGGCCCCGGGUUGGGAGGCAGCUGCUUGAGUUUCCAGGCGACCUGCCCGAGCACACCAACCAUCUCUCCUUGCAGGUGAGGCUAAUGCUAUCCAGCAGCUCUCCCCAACCGUAUAUGGUUAUAUAGCUCGCUUCUUAUUCAGAACCUCCAAUUUCUGCCGUUUCUCACUAGCCCCAGAUUCGGGGUAAGAGGGGAGAUCAGACUCAUGGAGUCCUGAUCCCAUCUUUGGGGUACCUGUGAUGUCCUGAUUACAGAAUCCUGAGAUAUAGCCUGCUGGUUUGUGGAAGAGUCUGGGCUGCCACAAAAAAUUUUAGAGUAAAUAUGUCUCCCCUGGGCACAUAGAGAGGGUGCUGCUAAUACCAUUACAGGACUAGGAAAGCCAAAUCAAGGGGAUUCAGCUCCUGGAGGCAGUGGGCUCAGAGCAGACCCUGAGAGUGCUGGCCCCUCCUGAGGCCCAUGGGUGGAUGAAUAGGUGGGUGGAUCCUGGUGUAUCCAGGGCAGCUCUAGUAGGAGGAACUGCUACUCCAGAGAUCAAGAGAAGGUGGGAGAUCUGCUUGUAGCCACUCAGGGGGGCGGGGCUUGGUAAGCAGUGGGCCAAUGAGAGGAAAGGA
rnacentral:lncRNA from 1 species